GGGGAAUAUUGGGCAAUGGGCGAAAGCCUGACCCAGCAACGCCGCGUGAGGGAAGAAGGUUUUCGGAUUGUAAACCUCUGUCCCAUGGGACGAAAAAAAUGACGGUACCAUGGGAGGAAGCCCCGGCUAACUACGUGCCAGCAGCCGCGGUAAUACGUAGGGGGCGAGCGUUGUCCGGAAUGACUGGGCGUAAAGGGCGCGUAGGCGGCUUUUUAAGUUUGGAGUGAAAGUCCUGCUUUCAAGGUGGGAAUUGCUUUGAAAACUGGAGAGCUUGAGUGCGGAAGAGGUAAGUGGAAUUCCCAGUGUAGCGGUGAAAUGCGUAGAGAUUGGGAGGAACACCAGUGGCGAAGGCGACUUACUGGGCCGUAACUGACGCUGAGGCGCGAAAGCGUGGGGAGCGAAC
rnacentral:rRNA from 1 species